GGAUAGAGCAGCAAGGCUGUUUCAGAGUCUGGCCAACCCACACAGAGCCUUCACUGUCAGUGACAUUCCAGCCCCUCCAUACCCUGACUGACAGGUCUUCUUUCAGAUCAUUAAGGUGUAUAUGGUUUUGGAGAACAGAAUCGAAGGUGAAAAAAGGACAGAAGCAAAGGCUACACAAAACAAAGCCAGACCUGGAGAUCAUUUUCAAACUCUUCCCUCCUCACCCAAAAUACAUGAAAAGCCCUUCUGUAAAGCAACUGAUGUCUUCAACUUACUAUGAAACGGAGAUGAAUAACUCAGCUUGAUGAAGGAACCCUCAUGUCCACUAUAAUAGAGCAUGGCAAAUUGGAGUCUUCAAUUAAGCACACGGAAUACAUGUGCUGAAUUGCUUUCUUUGCAAGGUUCAGAGUCAGAAUUCCUGCCCUGGGUUCUGAGUUGCUGAGUGGAGACGAUGAUGGAGAGCAGUGGAGACACGUGAUUUUCAGGGUGCUCUUUGCAUGCAUGAAAUGGAGCAAGACUUAUGAAGGGAAAAUGAAAGAGGAGGAUAGGAAGAUACGUCACCUCCUGGGUUUCCUCCAAUCAUCCAGUCCUCAUCUCUCUAUAUGUCUUUGAACACUCUGAGCGCCAUCAUGCCAAUUCCAUGGAUGAAACAAAUACCCAUGACUCAGCAUUUUUCUAAUGAAAACACGUGCGGUCUGACCCGAAGGAGAAACCACAAACAGAAUUGAGAAAAGCAGGCAGGCAAAUUUUGCUUUUCUUUUUCGUUAACCAACAGAAAAUGUAAGGACUGUUUCAUUAGGGAAUAAAAAAAAAAUGACUUACAGAAUUAACCAGAAGCAGCUCAUGAUAAAAUACAGUAUCACGCUAGAAAUACAUGUUUUACUUUUCAUGAAAGCUAACCACAUUGCCAUGAUGGGAACUCUCACACAUUGCUGGUGGGUAUGCAAAAUGAGACAGCCAGUCUGGAAAACAGUCUGCCAGUUUCCCGUGAUGUUACACUUACCACACACCCUAAUAAUCCCAAGUCUAGGUAUUUACCCUAGAGAAAUGAGGACUUAAUGUUCAACCCAAAAUCUGCACGUGAAAAUUUGUAGCGGCUUUAUUCCUUGUCACUAAAAACUGAGAACAACCAGAUGUCCUGCAAGUGACUGAAUAAACAAAGUAUAGUAAUUCAUAUACUACAAAGUAUAAUUCAUGGAGUACUAUGAAGCAAAAGCAGGAAUGACUAGAGUUAAUAACAAAGUAUUGUAUUGUUGAAAAUUGCUGAGCGAGUAGAUUUUAAAUGUUCUCACCACAAAGAACUGAAAAGUAUGUGAGGUAAUGAAUAUGUUAAGUAGCUUGAUUUAGCCAUUCCACAAUGUACAUAUAUCAAAACAUCGUGGUGUAUACCAUAAAUAUAUACAAAUGUUAUUUGUCUAUUAAAGAAGUUAAUUAAAGAAAAGGAUGGACUAUUGAUACACACAACCACUUGGAUACAUUGCAAAGGUACCAUGCUGAAUGAAAGAAAUUAGUUUCAAAAGCUAUGAUUUCAUUUAGAUGACAUCCUCAAGAAGACAAAACUGUAGUGACAAGGACAGAUUAGUGACUAGGAGAGACUGAGACAGGGCUGGGGUGUGUAAGUAACUACAAAAGGAGAACAUGGGAAAUUUUCGAGGCAAAAGGGUUGUCUUGGGUUCCUGCAGUUGUGACAGUUCCAGAAACCUGUAUUUGUGUUAAAAUCUACAGAACUGUACACAGUGAAGCCAAUUUUACUGUAUGUUAACUUUAAAAAUAUAAUACCACAAUAAAAUUAAACAUCACGCUGAAUGCUAAGAAUAGGAUAGACUUGCUUCAAUGGAUGGGGGAAAGACUUGCUUAACGGUAGGAGCCAUUUCAGGCAGAGACACUGAGGCUACUCUGUAACAAGGGAGAAAGGCAGCCUGAAAACUUGGUAAAUCUGUUUCCAAAAUAUUUGUCAUGUCCUUAAAAAUAAAAGCACACUGGAAAACACAAAAACGGAAUCAACCUCUCAGUAAAAGUCCUAUUGGCAUAUCGUUAA